AGCGAACGCUGGCGGCAGGCCUAACACAUGCAAGUCGAACGAACCUUUCGGGGUUAGUGGCGGACGGGUGAGUAGCACGUGGGAACGUGCCGUUAGGUUCGGAAUUACUCAGUGAAACUUGUGCUAAUACCGACUGUGCCCUUCGGGGGACGGAUUCAUCGCCUUUGUAACGGCCCGCGUCUGAUUAGCUAGUUGGUUGUGGUAAUGGCGCAUCAGGGCGACGUUCAUUAGCUGGUCUGAGAGGAUGAGCAGCCACAUUUGGACUGAGACACGGUCCAAACUACUAGGCGAGGGAGGAGUGGGGGAUCCAGCGCUAUCGGGGAAAUGAUGACGCAGCCAUGCUGGGUGAAUGAUGAAGGUCGUAGGAUAGUAAAACUCUUUCACAGGGGACGAUAAUGACGGUACCCGGAGAAGAAGCCCCGGCUAACUUCGUG
rnacentral:rRNA from 1 species